UAGCUGAUCAUGGGAACCGGAGUACGAAGGUUUUGAUUUCUGCUGAGAGCAUCUCCUGUCACUGUCUCACCUGGUCUCCGUGAUAAUUAUGAUUGGGAGCUGUAGAGUGUAAUCACACCCAAAUCCUGCCCUGCGGUCUUCAAGUCACAGACCUUUGAAGGACAGUAAAUCAGGACCUGAACUGUGACCUCUUGGUUGUCACUUCUAAGUGAGCAAUACCCAAAGAGAUCAAACCUUGGAAGUUGGUUCUCAAUUACUGGUGUCAGGGUCCCAGGUGAUCAUUUCUGGUGUUCUGACCAAGGCAGAAAGCACAGUUCCCUGGGCAAAAAAGUGGAAGAUCUGGUGUCUCUGAGAGGUGACCAAAAUGGUAAAGAAGCAAACCAGAUAGCAGAUAGCAGGGAGACAGAUGUAUGCUGUAGAGGAGGCUUCUGCCACAAGUAGAAAAGCCCAGCAAGGAAGUCCUUUUUGGUGAACAGAGGUGGAGAGAUCUUUUCUCUUCCUACACCCAGUGAUGGUUUGAGAGAGAUCUAAAGAAGGAAGAUACCCGAGAGAGCGAUGGAUGAACGAACACGGAGGGCUAUACAGCCAGAGGCUUCAGGAGAAAGAAAUCACCAGCCGGUUCAGUCUGAUGGUUUGAUGUGCAAGGGCAAGAGAACUGCGCAUGUGUCUGCAGUCUGUGUGAAUACUGUUGCCCACCUCUCAGUGUGGUUAGGAUGACAAAAGUCUCAGAUGUAAAGCAAGCUUAAAGAACACUGCUUGGCAGAGAAGGCCUCUUGCUUUGUAGUGCCCUCAGCCCAGAAAGCCUGAGAUCU
rnacentral:lncRNA from 1 species